GAUGAACGCUAGCGGGAGGCCUAACACAUGCAAGCCGAGCGGUAGAGAUUCUUCGGAAUCUUGAGAGCGGCGUACGGGUGCGGAACACGUGUGCAACCUGCCUUUAUCAAGGGGAUAGCCUUUCGAAAGGAAGAUUAAUACCCUAUAAUAUAUGAUUCGGCAUCGGAUUAUAUUGAAAACUACGGUGGAUAAAGAUGGGCACGCGCAAGAUUAGCUAGUUGGUGAGGUAACGGCUCACCAAGGCGACGAUCUUUAGGGGGCCUGAGAGGGUGAUCCCCCACACUGGUACUGAGACACGGACCAGACUCCUACGGGAGGCAGCAGUGAGGAAUAUUGGACAAUGGGUGAAAGCCUGAUCCAGCCAUCCCGCGUGUAGGAAGACGGCCCUAUGGGUUGUAAACUACUUUUAUCUGGGGAUAAACCUACUUACGUGUAAGUAGCUGAAGGUACCAGAUGAAUAAGCACCGGCUAACUCCGUG
rnacentral:rRNA from 1 species